UCCCUGGAAGACUAGUGGUUAGGCUCGGCGCUUUCACUGCUGCAGUCCGGGUUCGAUUCCCGGCCAGGGAA